rnacentral:rRNA from 1 species
CACGUAGGGCGCGAGCGUUGUCCGGAAUUAUUGGGCGUAAAGAGCUCGUAGGCGGCCUGUUGCGUCCGCUGUGAAAGCCCGGGGCUUAACCCCGGGUCGGCAGUGGGUACGGGCAGACUAGAGUGCGGUAGGGGAGAUUGGAAUUCCUGGUGUAGCGGUGGAAUGCGCAGAUAUCGGGAAGAACACCCGUGGCGAAGGCGGCUCUCUGGGACGGUACUGACGCUGAGACGCGAAAGCGUGGGGAGCGAACAGG